AUUGAACGCUGGCGGCAUGCUUUACACAUGCAAGUCGAACGGCAGCGCGGGGGCAACCCUGGCGGCGAGUGGCGAACGGGUGAGUAAUGCAUCGGAACGUAUCCUGUAAUGGGGGAUAACGUAGCGAAAGUUACGCUAAUACCGCAUACGCUCGAGAGAGGAAAGUGGGGAUCGCAAGACCUCACGUUAUAGGAGCGGCCGAUGUCCGAUUAGCUAGUUGGUGGGGUAAAGGCCUACCAAGGCGACGAUCGGUAGCUGGUCUGAGAGGAUGAUCAGCCACACUGGGACUGAGACACGGCCCAGACUCCUACGGAGGCAGCAGUGGGGAAUUUUGGGACAAUGGGCGAAAGCCUGAUCCAGCCAUGCCGCGUGCGGGAAGAAGGCC
rnacentral:rRNA from 1 species